AACCAUUUGGCCUCUGUGAUGUGUACUUUUAUUAUAGAAUUCUUCUCCUUCUGCAUCUCUAUUGUUUUCAAACAUUUGUUUAUGCACAAUUGGUUUUUAAAAUAUAUAUAUAUACAGCAACGUUUAUGCUCUAGUUAAAUAUAUGGUCAUCACGAUCGGGCGGAUUCUCGUUGGGUUCGAGGAUGGUAGCAUUGUUUUCAGUCCCGCUGAGUUCAGAUCUAAGUUCCAAAAUUCGGGUUCGGGGUUGGGUAAGCACAAACUCGAUCAUAAUCCAUCCCGUUCCCCUCAAAUCAAUUUAUGUACUUACUAUUUAGUAAUAAGGACACUAGUACAUACUACUAGAUCUAUGAGUGCAACAAGAUACUUUGCAGUGAGGAAAUUAAGACUGGUACAAAAAUGUCAGAGAAGAAGGAAAAAGGACGAAGGAAGAGCAUUGAGAAUAGAAAGGAAGAUGAGAAAAGGUCAGUAGAAGUAGAAGGAAACGAGAAUUCUACAUCAUUCACACUUAAUUCUCUCUCUUUGUUCUCCUUAUAUUCUUUUGUUGACAUUGCCUUUACACAAAAUCAUUCAGUAAAGAAUUUGGUUGUUUUUCAAGUGAGAUGUGUC
rnacentral:lncRNA from 1 species